GAGAGAAAAAAUACACCUGUGACGAGUGUGGGAAGGAUUUUACUUUGAAGUCUGAACUAAAACAACAUCAGCUCAUCCACACUGGAGAGAGACCGUUCAGCUGUGACUUGUGUGGAAAGUCGUUUUCCUGGAAGAAUGCCCUAAAAACACAUCAAGUCGUCCACAGUGGAGUUAAAGCUUACAGCUGUGAUCAGUGUGGUAAAGCUUUUACUCAAAAGAUCAGCUUACAGAGACAUCUAGUUACCCACUCUGGAAUUAAGGCAUACAGCUGUGACAUCUGUGGAAAAACUUUCAGCCAGCUAGGGAGCCGAAAUACACACCUACGCAUUCACUCCGGAGAAAAUGUGUACUGGUGUGAUCAGUGUGGCAAAUACUUUACAACAGACGCACACUUACAAAGCCACAUGUUUACCCACACUGAGGAGAGACCUUAUCAAUGUGACCUGUGUGAGAAGACUUUUAAAGCUCCGCGUUACCUGAGACAACACCAACAGAUCCACACCAGAAAGAGACUCAACAAGUGCAGUUACUGUGAGAAGCAGAGCGACACAGAUGGAUCCAGUUCUCAACCCUGUCAUCGCUGUGGUGGUGGGAAAGACUUUCGUUGUGACAUCUGUGGAAAAACUUUCAGUCAGCAAGCCGGCCUAAAAAUACAUCAACGUAAACACACUGGAGACAAACUGAAAUA